rnacentral:rRNA from 1 species
GAUGAACGCUGGCGGCGUGCCUAAUACAUGCAAGUCGAGCGAACGGACGAGAAGCUUGCUUCUCUGAUGUUAGCGGCGGACGGGUCAGUAACACGUGGAUAACCUACCUAUAAGACUGGGAUAACUUCGGGAAACCGGAGCUAAUACCGGAUAAUAUUUUGAACCGCAUGGUUCAAAAGUGAAAGACGGUCUUGCUGUCACUUAUAGAUGGAUCCGCGCUGCAUUAGCUAGUUGGUAAGGUAACGGCUUACCAAGGCAACGAUGCAUAGCCGACCUGAGAGGGUGAUCGGCCACACUGGAACUGAGACACGGUCCAGACUCCUACGGGAGGCAGCAGUAGGGAAUCUUCCGCAAUGGGCGAAAGCCUGACGGAGCAACGCCGCGUGAGUGAUGAAGGUCUUCGGAUCGUAAAACUCUGUUAUUAGGGAAGAACAUAUGUGUAAGUAACUGUGCACAUCUUGACGGUACCUAAUCAGAAAGCCACGGCUAACUACGUG